GAUGAACGCUGGCGGCGUGCCUAAUACAUGCAAGUCGAGCGAACAGACGAGGAGCUUGCUCCUCUGACGUUAGCGGCGGACGGGUGAGUAACACGUGGAUAACCUACCUAUAAGACUGGGAUAACUUCGGGAAACCGGAGCUAUACCGGAUAAUAUAUUGAACCGCAUGGUUCAAUAGUGAAAGACGGUUUUGCUGUCACUUAUAGAUGGAUCCGCGCCGCAUUAGCUAGUUGGUAAGGUAACGGCUUACCAAGGCAACGAUGCGUAGCCGACCUGAGAGGGUGAUCGGCCACACUGGAACUGAGACACGGCCCAGACUCCUACGGGAGGCAGCAGGAGGGAAUCUUCCGCAAUGGGCGAAAGCCUGACGGAGCAACGCCGCGUGAGUGAUGAAGGUCUUCGGAUCGUAAAACUCUGUUAUUAGGGAAGAACAAAUGUGUAAGUAACUAUGCACGUCUGGACGGUACCUAAUCAGAAAGCCACGGCUAACUACGU
rnacentral:rRNA from 1 species